rnacentral:rRNA from 1 species
UACAGGGGGGGGCAAGCGUUGUUCGGAAUUACUGGGCGUAAAGGGCUCGUAGGCGGCCAACUAAGUCACACGUGAAAUCCCCAGGCUCAACCUGGGAACUGCGUGUGAUACUGGAUGGCUUGAAUUCGGGAGAGGGAUGCAGAAUUCCAGGUGUAGCGGUGAAAUGCGUAGAUAUCUGGAGGAAUACCGGUGGCGAAGGCGGCAUCCUGGACCGACAUUGACGCUGAUGAGCGAAAGCUAGGGGAGCAAACGGG